AUGCAAAAAACCAAACCUCCCCCUACCCCCCAAACACCUGCUCUGCUUACCCCACAGGACUGCUCUCUGAGCAGGGAUAUUUAUCCCUGGGACAGCUGGGAAAGAACUUUGUUUUCUUUUUUUGUUUUAUUUUAUUUUAUUUUUUGCCUUUUUAGGGCCGCACCCAUGGCAUAUGGAGCUUCCCAGGCUAGGGGUCAAAUCAGAGCUACAGCUGCCAGCCUACACCACAGCCACAGCAACUCCAGAUCCAAGCGCGUCUUCGACCUACACCACAGCCGGAUCCUUGACCCACUGAGAGAGGCCAGGGAUCGAACCCGCAACCUCAUAAUUCCUAGUCGGAUCCAUUUCCGCUGUACCACGAUGGGAACUUCGGUGAAAGAACUUUGUAAGGUGUUGUGUAGAACCCAAGCACAGGGCCAUCACUGUUCUAUCAGAUCCAGGCUGGAUGUCAAGCGUCUCUGUCACCUGGUCUGAUGGAUUGAGAAGUCCUUCAGGAUGGCUGGCUCCCUUUGCACCCUUGCUCUGCAUUUGCGGACAUCACCAGGAGGGAAUUGGUGGCUCCAGCAAAUUCCUGACACCAGCCUUAAUGACAAACCCACUCUCCCUGUAAACAAACACGGUAGUUUUCUGUUUGCCCAUCCACCUCCUGUGUGGUUGGCAUGAGCUGGGCCUCCAGAUAUUAAGCAACUCUGAAUGACCUAAAAACGAAAUCAAGUUGUAGACCUGUCAAGCUAAGACAGGCCCUGUUGUUUUCUCCAAGGUUUCGCCUCUGGGAAUUGGGGUGGUGGUGGGGCACAGACUACCCAAAGAACAAGUUAAGACUUGGAACAUGGAAUCAGAGCUACUUGCUGUGUGUCCUGAGAUAAGUUCCUUAACUUCUCUGAACUUCAUCUUCCGAUUUACCUCACAGAAUAAAGGUAGGUGAAAUAACUUGGUGAACUAAAGUGCUUUGUGAUCUUCUCUGCUGCAUCAUUGGCAACUGUGUGUGCCUGCCUGGCCAGUGGCCCCUUCAGAGGUGCGGUGGGGCCUUGCUCCUGUCAUCUACCUAGAAAAUUCUUCUGCCUUUUUAUGACUCCGAGUGAGUGUCUUUUCCUUCAGGCUCUGGGAGGCAGGUUCUGUCCCCUCUCCCCAGUAGGAGGAUCUUCAGGGCUUGUCACUCUGUGGAGAUGGUCCAGCAUUCAUGCUCCUCUGUAAGCUCCUUAUUUGUACCCUUAACUUUGGAAGGAGGGGUUCAUGGUGAUCCUUUUGUAAGUGUUUAAAAGGGGCUACCCUGGGCAGUCAGGAAGCCGGAAGAGAGCUGCUGAAGGGGCAGUGGGAAGGGACUUAGCAAUUUGUCUACUUUGCGGUUUGAAUUCACCUUCUCUGCACUGUGUGGCCACAGGCCCUUCUGGACACAGCCUGAUUCCUUGGUGGAAUAUCAUUCUGCAAGCUGUUCUUGCCUGUGGUUUCCAGAGGGGAGAAUGGCAUCUCCCUCUCAGGCCAGAGAGGCCCUGUCCCCAUCAAAUGCCCACUUGCAGGUUCAUUCCUGAGGCUCAGCAGGUGACAGAGGCCAGGCUGGCUGCCCUGAAUUGAGCAAUCACUUGCCUCUGGGUGAGACAGUGAUCUAGCUGAGCUUUUUGUUUUGCGUUUCGUUUUGUUUUGUUUUGCCUUCUUGUCCAAGAACCUAAG
rnacentral:lncRNA from 9 species